UACGUAGGGUGCAAGCGUUAAUCGGAAUUACUGGGCGUAAAGCGUGCGCAGGCGGUCCGUUAAGACAGAUGUGAAAUCCCCGGGCUCAACCUGGGAAUUGCAUUUGUGACUGCACGGCUAGAGUGUGUCAGAGGGGGGUAGAAUUCCACGUGUAGCAGUGAAAUGCGUAGAGAUGUGGAGGAAUACCGAUGGCGAAGGCAGCCCCCUGGGAUAACACUGACGCUCAUGCACGAAAGCGUGGGGAGCAAACAGG
rnacentral:rRNA from 1 species